CGACACUACCUAAUUCUACAACAGUCCCAUCACCCUUCGGAAAGAAACCCAUGCCCUUUAGCAGUCAUUCCCAGCUCCUGGGAACCACUAAUCUCCUUUCUGUCUUUAUGGCUUUGCCUGUUCUAGACAGUUCAUAUAAAUGGAAUCAUAUAACAUGUGGCCUUCUGUGUCUGCCUUCUUUGACUUAGCAUGUUUUCUAGGUUCAUCCAUGUUGUAGCAUAAAUUAGUACUUCAUUCCAUUUAUGACUGAAUAAUACUCCAUUAUAUGGAUAUGUCAAAUUUUCCUCCCC
rnacentral:lncRNA from 1 species